rnacentral:rRNA from 1 species
AGUGAACGCUGGCGGUAGGCCCAACACAUGCAAGUCGAACGGCAGCACAGUAAGAGCUUGCUCUUACGGGUGGCGAGUGGCGGACGGGUGAGGAAUACAUCGGAAUCUACUUUUUCGUGGGGGAUAACGUAGGGAAACUUACGCUAAUACCGCAAACGACCUACGGGUGAAAGCAGGGGAUCUUCGGACCUUGCGCGAUUGAAUGAGCCGAUGUCGGAUUAGCUAGUUGGCGGGGUAAAGGCCCACCAAGGCGACGAUCCGUAGCUGGUCUGAGAGGAUGAUCAGCCACACUGGAACUGAGACACGGUCCAGACUCCUACGGGAGGCAGCAGUGGGGAAUAUUGGACAAUGGGCGCAAGCCUGAUCCAGCCAUACCGCGUGGGUGAAGAAGGCCUUCGGGUUGUAAAGCCCUUUUGUUGGGAAAGAAAAGCAGCAGGUUAAUACCCCGCUGUUCUGACGGUACCCAAAGAAUAAGCACCGGCUAACUUCGUG